GAUGAACGCUGGCGGCGUGCCUAAUACAUGCAAGUCGAGCGAACGGAUGAGAAGCUUGCUUCUCUGAUGUUAGCGGCGGACGGGUGAGUAACACGUGGAUAACCUACCUAUAAGACUGGGAUAACUUCGGGAAACCGGAGCUAAUACCGGAUAAUAUUUUGAACCGCAUGGUUCAAAAGUGAAAGACGGUCUUGCUGUCACUUAUAGAUGGAUCCGCGCUGCAUUAGCUAGUUGGUAAGGUAACGGCUUACCAAGGCAACGAUGCAUAGCCGACCUGAGAGGGUGAUCGGCCACACUGGAACUGAGAAACGGUCCAGACUCCUACGGGAGGCAGCAGUAGGGAAUCUUCCGCAAUGGGCGAAAGCCUGACGGAGCAACGCCGCGUGAGUGAUGAAGGUCUUCGGAUCGUAAAACUCUGUUAUUAGGGAAGAACAUAUGUGUAAGUAACUGUGCACAUCUUGACGGUACCUAAUCAGAAAGCCACGGCUAACUACGUG
rnacentral:rRNA from 1 species